rnacentral:lncRNA from 1 species
CUUUGUUGCUUCCUAAUAUCCUGCCUAUACUAACACCUGGUGCACAAACAACCCAUUCUGCCCCUCCCCAUAUCCUGACUAUAUAAGCUAGCCUGAGAAAAGUAAAGUUUGCCACUUGAUCAGAAUCCUGUCUUGUGGUCAAUCUUUCUGUGUCUCUUGUCCCCAUUCCCUAUCCCUGACUCUCUUGCCCCAGAUUGAUGUCCUGCAGGACGGGACAACUGGUGCCCAACGUGUGGCCGGAUAGAGUUGGGGAUCUGGGAACUUCAGUGCUCAUUAGAGGGACAGGCCCGUCCAUGCAGUGAGGCGUCCACAACAAGGUCGAUCGUGAGCCUCAGUUGGAGGAAGACCCAGCAGCCUGCCCAGCGCUUGGGACUUCAUAGGUUCAUGAGCAUCACCUAUGUGGAAAAGACCCCAAACUCCUCUUCAGAUGUGCAUGAUGCAGAGGUGCACGUGCCACAGCCUUCCCCAUAAGAAGUCAGAAGACCACUCUGGAGCCCGUGCUCAUGCCAUCUUCAUCCGGGUUACAAGGAUUUCACUUAGGUGGCCAGAUUUGCAUGUCAUGUAAUCGGAUCACUUCUCCAGUAGUCUUCACUUGUGUGACUUUAGCCUCUACCAUGGUGGUUCUCAACCUGUGGGUAUCAAAUGACCCUUUCACAGGGAUAUCCUAAGACCAUCAGAAAACACAGGUAUUUACACUACAAUUCAUAACGGUAGCAAACUUACAGUUAUGAAAUAGCAAUAAAAAUAAUGCUAUGGUUGGGGAGUCACCACAACAUGUAUUAAAGGGUCUCAGCAUUAGGAAGGUUGAGAACCACCAGUCUACCACAAAGCAUUGUUAUUCUAAUUUAUGCAACAUCAGGCACUUUGCCUACUAUUAGCUAUUUAACCUUUCCCAC